UUUGAUCCUGGCUCAGGAUGAACGCUGGCGGCAUGCCUAAUACAUGCAAGUCGAACGAGAGGAAGGAAAGCUUGCUUUUCUGAAUCUAGUGGCGAACGGGUGAGUAACACGUAGGUAACCUGCCCAUGUGCCCGGGAUAACUUCUGGAAACGGAUGCUAAAACCGGAUAGGUAGCAGACAAGCAUUUGACUGCUAUUAAAGUGGCUAAGGCCAUGAACAUGGAUGGACCUGCGGUGCAUUAGCUAGUUGGUGAGGUAACGGCCCACCAAGGCGACGAUGCAUAGCCGGCCUGAGAGGGCGGACGGCCACAUUGGGACUGAGACACGGCCCAAACUCCUACGGGAGGCAGCAGUAGGGAAUUUUCGUCAAUGGGGGGAACCCUGAACGAGCAAUGCCGCGUGAGUGAAGAAGGUCUUCGGAUCGUAAAGCUCUGUUGUAAGAGAAAAACGACAUUCAUAGGGAAUGAUGAGUGAGUGAUGGUAUCUUACCAGAAAGUCACGGCUAACUACGUGCCAGCAGCCGCGGUAAUACGUAGGUGGCGAGCGUUAUCCGGAAUGAUUGGGCGUAAAGGGUGCGUAGGUGGCAGAACAAGUCUGGAGUAAAAGGUAUGGGCUCAACCCGUACUGGCUCUGGAAACUGUUCAGCUAGAGAACAGAAGAGGACGGCGGAACUCCAUGUGUAGCGGUAAAAUGCGUAGAUAUAUGGAAGAACACCGGUGGCGAAGGCGGCCGUCUGGUCUGUUGCUGACACUGAAGCACGAAAGCGUGGGGAGCAAAUAGGAUUAGAUACCCUAGUAGUCCACGCCGUAAACGA
rnacentral:rRNA from 1 species